rnacentral:lncRNA from 1 species
AACAUGCCACGCGAGUUUGGGGAACUAAAGGAUGGGGGUUCUGCUCCUCUCCCUCUCCCCGCCCCCCUUUUCCUACGUCAGAACCAAAAGCCAGCACAGAAGCUGCGUGCUGCUGACUGAGCUAGAAGGGGCUUCCGGGGGAGAGAGCUUUCUGCAGAAGACGUGCAUCUAGCAGAGGGGCAGAGUGAGCGGGGAGCUGCACAGGUGCAAGCUCAGAGCAGAUGCCUGGAUAUACUGUGCCAAGUUCAUCCCUGUUAUAACUCCAUUGGUUUUGGCAAAGUUGCCUCAGAUUCUGGAAGAAACAUGAACAAAAUGAAUGGUAUCCUGUUCACUGUCUUCAUUGUUCUGAUUGCUUAUUGCAGUUCUGGAUAUGCCCUGAAGUGUUACAUCUGUGCAGAUAGUCCUUCAUUGUGUUUAACCAAUGCUACUUGCACCCAUGGAGAUGAUAGUUGCUUACAGAUCAGGUUUGGUAUGUAUACUAUCCCAGAGAAUAAAAUAAAUACAGAAAAAUUAACUCAUUCAAAGUCUGUGCAUUUCAAGUCUGGAAAUGUCCGACUCCGGUUUGUUAAUUUAGUUCACGAUAAAAGACCGUUUGAAUUACAUGCUGAUAAUAAUCAUCAGUACAAUUUGUUUUUUGAGCACCUGAUAAAGAUAAAUGGUGGUGUGUGUAUCUGAUGUACAACAUUUGUCAUAUAUCCAGGUAAAUAAAAAAGUCAAAUUGAAGUAGUUCA